rnacentral:rRNA from 1 species
UACGUAGGGUGCAAGCGUUGUCCGGAAUUAUUGGGCGUAAAGAGCUCGUAGGCGGUCUGUCACGUCGGCUGUGAAAACCCGAGGCUCAACCUCGGGCCUGCAGUCGAUACGGGCAGACUAGAGUUCGGUAGGGGGAGACUGGAAUUCCUGGUGUAGCGGUGAAAUGCGCAGAUAUCAGGAGGAACACCGGUGGCGAAGGCGGGUCUCUGGGCCGAAACUGGACGCUGAGGAGCGAAAGCGUGGGGAGCGAACAGGA